UAGAGUUGUAUUUUAAAGUGCAUGUCAAGUGUGCCUCAGAGUCUUACCCCACCCACGUAUCAAUUUUAAAAACUGCAACAUUAGUAGGCGUUGCCUGGAGGACCGAGAGGGCGGAGCCGCGGCAGUGACGAAAACGACGGCUAACUAGACGAAGCUAGCUCCAUUCACUCUGAGCAGUCAUUAGAAGUGGAGGACGUUUCUCCCCCUCCUUACCCAGACACUCGAGAAGAAAGGGACCAAGUCUAAUUGGAGGAGACAAGCGGACAUUUGCCUUAUUGUUUUGAGCUUGUGAGUUGCCUGAAAUUACCGGAACCGACCCAACAGAACCAUCUCUGAAUGUGAUCCUCUGGUGUCUGCAGCUGGUCUCCUGCUGGUGUCUUCAGGAUCAGGAGCUUCCAGAAGAAUGUGCCUUUCAAUGACUCUUUCCACCUUAUUUGUUAUAUUAAUUAAAUAAAUCUCAAUUUAUAUA